AACUCACAUCAACAAACGCCAGGGUAUUACGAGCUUAGCUUAAAACCCAAAGGACUUGACGGUGUCCCACCCAACUAGAGGAGCCUGUUCUAUAAUCGAUGAUCCACGUUAUACCCAACCAUUUUUUGCUUCUCAGCCUGUAUACCUCCGUCGCAAGCCUACCAUAUAAAUGAACAACAGUAGGCCUAAUAGUCCAAACACUAUUACGUCAGGUCAAGGUGCAGCUUAUAAAACGGAAAGAAAUGGGCUACAAUUUCUAAUCUAGAACAAACAAAUUACUACAUGAAACAUAGUCAUGAAGGUGGAUUUAGUAGUAAACGGGAAAUAGAGAGUCCCAUUAAAUCUGGCCCUGAGACGUGUACAAACCGC
rnacentral:rRNA from 1 species